rnacentral:rRNA from 1 species
CGGAUAUCUUAGAGGCGCAGAUCACGCACUAAGUCCCCCCCCCCGGGGAGUGGGGCCCCGAGGUUAUAAUUCAAAUGAAUUGACGGGGGCCCGCACAACCGCUGGGGCAUAUGGUUUAUUUUAUAACAAUGCGAAGAGCCCUACCAGGCCUUGACAUGCCGUGUACUUUCCAGAGAUGGAUUGUUGCUUUUGGGAACUCAGACCCAGAUCCCACAUGGCUGUUGUCAGUUCGUGUCUUGUGAUGUGGGGUUAAGUCCCGUAACGAGCGCAACCCUCGUCCUUAGUCACCAGCUCGUUAGGGUGGGCACUCUAAGGAGACUGCCGGUGACAAACCGGAGGAAGGUGGGGAUGACGUCAAGUCAUCAUGGCCCUUACGGCCUGGGCUACACACGUGAUACAAUGGUCGGUACAAAGGGUCGCCAAGCCGCGAGGUGGAGCUAAUCCCAUAAAACCGUUCGUAGUCCGGAUCGCAGUCUGCAACUCGCCUGCGUGAAGUCGGAAUCGCUAGUAAUCGCGAAUCAGAAUGUCGCGGUGAAUACGUUCCCGGGCCUUGUACACACCGCCCGUCACACCAUGGGAGUGGGUUGCUCCAGAAGUAGUGUAGUCGUAACCGCAAGGAGGACGCCUACCACGUUUUAUAA